CGCCCAACUUAAACGGAAGUCUGGUACAUCCUGCAUGGAAUGUCUCUACCUGCACACACCUUUGAUGUUCAUGAAUGGAACUUGAAUCUCUACUAUUUAUCUAUCCUGAGAUGCCAUUGAGUGGGGCCGUGACCGGGGGCUACAAAAAUAGAAGAGGCAACCAACAUGUUUUCUUUGUAUGAAUACAUAGUUGGUGUUGGGCUUUGUUGAUAGUGAAUAUUGUGAAUCAGGGAGGAGAUAAUGGUCAUUUGAGGUGCAGACAACCGUGCGUCUUUAUUACCUUGCGCAAUCAUUUCUAUUUUUAUAUUCACACUCUUUCAAACUAUAAUGCUUAGGCUUUGCCCUUUAUAAAAGCAUCGUGAUUAUUGCGAGUGUGUGGCCACUAAAGGUAAUGAGGUAUUGGAGGUUUUGGAAAAAGCAAAAGAUCAGAAUCUAGCGCACAAAGGCUUGAUAUAGGGGAGAUUGUGGUCUAAUCAUUCUUUUAUAAGAAAAAGUGACUGAGUUCCAUGACAACAGUAAUGACAAGAUUCUCAAAAGAAGAAAAACUGUUAGAAUUUAUAUAACUCUAACAAUAAUUUUGAAAAAUAUAAAUACCAUCAAAUUUUCCAAAUGAAUGGAACCAAUGUACACAUAUUACAUGUAAAGGGUACUAGAGUUAUGCAUAUAUAUGCUCUCUAACAAUGUUCACUCAUAUUAAGGUGUCACUUAAGGAGCAUAUUGGAAAGUAUUCAUACAAUUUGAAUUGCAUAGUAUUUUUAAUUGAUUAUAAAAUUUUAAAUUUGUUUGAUUUAA